rnacentral:rRNA from 1 species
CCAGACUCCUACGGGAGGCAGCAGUGGGGAAUAUUGCACAAUGGGGGAAACCCUGAUGCAGCAACGCCGCGUGAGUGAGGAAGUAUUUCGGUAUGUAAAGCUCUAUCAGCAGGGAAGAAAAUGACGGUACCUGACUAAGAAGCCCCGGCUAACUACGUGCCAGCAGCCGCGGUAAUACGUAGGGGGCAAGCGUUAUCCGGAUUUACUGGGUGUAAAGGGAGCGUAGACGGCAUGGCAAGUCAGAUGUGAAAGCCCGGGGCUCAACCCCGGGACUGCAUUUGAAACUGUCAGGCUGGAGUGCAGGAGAGGUAAGUGGAAUUCCUAGUGUAGCGGUGAAAUGCGUAGAUAUUAGGAGGAACACCAGUGGCGAAGGCGGUCUGCUGGACGAUGACUGACGUUGAGGCUCGAAAGCGUGGGGAGCAAACAGGAUUAGAUACCCGCGUAGCU